rnacentral:rRNA from 1 species
GCUAGCGUUGCUCGGAAUUACUGGGCGUAAAGCGCACGUAGGCGGCUUUCUAAGUCGGGGGUGAAAUCCUGGAGCUCAACUCCAGAACUGCCUUCGAUACUGGAGAGCUUGAGUCCGGGAGAGGUGAGUGGAACUGCGAGUGUAGAGGUGAAAUUCGUAGAUAUUCGCAAGAACACCAGUGGCGAAGGCGGCUCACUGGCCCGGUACUGACGCUGAGGUGCGAAAGCGUGGGUAGCAAACAGG